rnacentral:rRNA from 1 species
CCGGUUGAUCCUGCCGGACCCGACUGCUAUUUGGGUGAGGAUAAGCCAUGCGAGUCGAAUGGGAUGCCCAAAAUUCCCAUGGCAAACUGCUCAGUAACACAUGAUCAACUUACCCUAUAGAGAAAAAUAACCUCGGGAAACUGAGGAUAAUGUUUCAUAAUUGAAUCGGCUUGGAAAAGUUUUUCAAUUAAAAGAACAAGAAAAAUGGUUCUUGUUCGCUAUAGGAUAGGAUCGUGGACGAUUAUGGUUGUUGGUGAGGUAACGGCUCACCAAGCCGAUAAUCGAUAGGGGCCGUGAGAGCGGGAGCCCCGAGAUGGGUACUGAGACAACGACCCAGGCCUUACGAGGCGCAGCAGGCGCGGAACCUCCGCAAUACACGAAAGUGUGACGGGGUUACCCAAAGUGUUCAUUAUUGAACUGUGGUAGGUGAGUAAUGUUCCCUACUAGAAAGGAGAGGGCAAGGCUGGUGCCAGCCGCCGCGGUAAAACCAGCUCUUCAAGUGGUCGGGAUAAUUAUUGGGCUUAAAGUGUCCGUAGCUGGUUUAGUAAGUUCCUGGUAAAAUCGGGUAGCUUAACUAUCCGUAUGCUAGGAAUACUGCUAUACUAGAGGGCGGGAGAGGUCUGAGGUACUACAGGGGUAGGGGUGAAAUCUUAUAAUCCUUGUAGGACCACCAGUGGCGAAGGCGUCAGACUGGAACGCGCCUGACGGUGAGGGACGAAAGCCAGGGGAGCGAACCGGAUUAGAUACCCGGGUAGUCCUGGCCGUAAACGAUGCAUACUAGGUGAUGGUACGGCCAUGAGCCGUAUCAGUGCCGUAGGGAAACCGUUAAGUGUGCCGCCUGGGAAGUACGGUCGCAAGGCUAAAACUUAAAGGAAUUGGCGGGGGAGCACCACAAGGGGUGAAGCCUGCGGUUCAAUUGGACCCAACGCCGGGAAACUUACCAGGGGAGACAGUAGAAUGAUGGUCAGGUUGACGACCUUACCUAACGAGCUGAGAGGAGGUGCAUGGCCGUCGCCAGUUCGUGCUGUGAGGUAUCCUGUUAAGUCAGGCAACGAACGAGAUCCGCGCCUUUAUUUGCCAGCAAGAAGUCACGACUUCGUUGGGAACACUAAAGGGACCGCCAUCGAUAAGAUGGAGGAAGGAGCGGGCAAAGGCAGGUCAGUAUGCCCCGAAACCCCUGGGCUACACGCGGGCUGCAAUGGUAUGAACAAUGGGCUGUAACUCCGAAAGGAGAAACCAAUCCCGAAAUCAUAUCUCAGUUGGGAUUGUCGGCUGUAACCCGCCGACAUGAACGUGGAAUCCCUAGUAAUCGUGUGUCAUCAUCGCACGGUGAAUACGUCUCUGCUCCUUGCACACACCGCCCGUCGCUCCACCCGAGUGUGCUAAAAAUGAGGUGUGGUCAUUAUGGUCAUAUCGAGUUUCUAGUAUGCGAGGAGGGAGAAGUCGUAACAAGGUAGCCGUAGGGAACCUGCGGCUGGAUCACCUCC